rnacentral:rRNA from 1 species
UACGUAGGGUGCAAGCGUUGUCCGGAAUUAUUGGGCGUAAAGAGCUCGUAGGCGGUCUGUUGCGUCGGCUGUGAAAACCCGGGGCUCAACUCCGGGCCUGCAGCCGAUACGGGCAGACUAGAGUUCGGCAGGGGAGACUGGAAUUCCUGGUGUAGCGGUGAAAUGCGUAGAUAUCCGGAGGAACACCAAUGGCGAAGGCAGUGUCCUGGGAAGUACCUGACGCUCAGGUGCGAAAGCUAGGGGAGCGAACAGG